UUAACUUCCCCCAUGCGAUUUUUCUGGUUUAAUCAGAUGUAAAACUCUAUCAAUUUGAUACAUAGAUCCCCUCAUAUAUCUUCAGAAUCCCUUAUUUUUGAAGAAAUUGGAACAGAUUCAAAUUUCUAAUCCACUUCACAAAGAAAUUGGAGAAUUUUUUUCUUUUUUUUGAAUACUAAAAAUCGCUCUAUACAUCUUCAUCUUCUACCUAGCUAACCACCUUGAUUAAAGAUACAUAUACAUUUAGCUUGGAUUGGUGAAAGUGGUGGUGGAUUGAUGGCAAAGACGAUAGUGGAGAACAAUCAUCAUCGAAAAGGUGAAGAAACCCAGGGUGGAGAAGAGGUAAAAAUGCGAAAUCAGUUUAGAAUCUUGUGAUUUUGGUACAAUUUUUUGUUUAUUCAUUAUGCUCGACUCGAUAUUCCUUCACCAAUUGAAAUUUUUCUUGGGAUUUAGCGCUGGUGCUUGUUGAUAAAAUGGGUAGGUUUAUUUGCAGUUAUGCACAAUAGAUGUUUGUUCCUCAUCAUUUCCAAAAUUAAUUUUCAUUCGAUCUUCUUGGUGGAAGCGUUUCUAUUGCUGACUACCGAUCGUUGCAUAGUUUCUCUUAUGCAGUUAUUGCAGAUUUUUUUAGCUCAAGGGAGCUUCUUGUGGUUGAAGGGAUACAAAGUUUCCCGGAGAAGAAAGAAAUUAUUUGUGAUUUCAAGCUGCAGGCUGAAGGAAAGCUCAGGAAAGAUAAAGAAAAAACAAUGGAAGAAUUAGGUCUAGCAUUUAUAAGAGUAACUGAUGAUGCGAAGAUGAUUGUUGUUGGAGAGUAUAUAUGAGAGAAUCAUGGUAAUAUCGGUUGUAGGAGAGUAAGACUAAGAAGAAGAGAACCAGGAUAAGAUGAUGAGGAUGAGGCUAAUGAAGAGGAUGAUGGUGGACUGAGAAAAUCCGGGAAGGAGUUAAAAAAGUUGCUAGGACAUUUAGCUGGAAUGAAUAAUUCAGAUGCACGAUUACGAUGUAAGCUCAUGUUAUUUCACUUAAGAGUACCUAAAUUCACCUAACCUGCCAUGCGUUCUUUUCCAUCAAGAUGUUUGUUCCUUUGCUUUAGAAAAGUAUUUUUCAGUAGAUCUUCCUGGUUGAAGUUUUUGGCAGUGUUGACUGAUUAUCAUGGUGUAGUUUCUAUUAAGAAGUUUUUGCAGAUUCUUACAAGCUAAGGGAAGCCACCGCUGUUGUUGAGGUAGGGUGUAACUUCAAGGAUGUCGGAUGGUGCAUAAGGAACAAACAUCUAUUUUUGUUGGACAACCUGCGAAAGGAGGUAGAAAUUUAUGGAUAAUGUUUAAAGAAAUAGAAACAGUAGAUUAUGAAUGAUUGGGGAGAUUCGAAACCUCUUGUGGUUGAAGGGAUACGAUACUCUAUAAAAGAAAGGAAAGCUCCAUGAUUACGAGCUACAUGUGAGCAAUGUACCUUACCAGGUAAUGAGUACUGUGCUGGUAGUAUUAACAGUGGAUUUUGUUUUGGGCUUAUUUACUAGGAUAUGACCCGUGCCGUGAUUUAAUUUAUUCUCGGUGUUGCCGAAUGAUUGUUUCUUAUCGUAUUUCGAUAUAUGUCCUGUUAAAUCUAACUCCAGCGUCAUUAUAUUGUUUCAUUUUUUCCUAGUGCUGUUAGAAUUUUUUUUUUUUACAUACGUACGGUAGACACGUUGCUCAAGACGUUGUUUUAACGAUGAUCUCUAAUAAA